CGUACCGUAAACGGACACACGUAGUUGGGUUGAGUAUACUAAGGCGCUCGAGUGAUUCACGGUUAAGGAACUAGGCAAAAUAGUCCUGUAACUUCGGGAAAAAGGACGCCAUCAGCAAUGGUGGCCGCAGAGAAUAGGCCCAGGCGACUGUUUAACAAAAACACAUGGCUAUGCAAAAUAGAAAUAUGAAGUAUAUGGCCUGACACCUGCCCGGUGCUGGAAGGUUAAGAGGAGAUGUCAUCGCAAGAGAAGCAUUGAAUUGAAGCCCCAGUAAACGGCGGCCGUAACUAUAACGGUCCUAAGGUAGCGAAAUUCCUUGUCGGGUAAGUUCCGACCUGCACGAAUGGUGUAACGAUCUGGGCACUGUCUCAACCGUGAGCUCGGUGAAAUUGUAGUAUCGGUGAAGAUGCCGAUUACCCGCGAUGGGACGAAAAGACCCCGUGAACCUUUACUAUAGCUUUACAUUGCAUUUGGGUAAUUAAUGUGUAGGAU
rnacentral:rRNA from 1 species